UGGCCAUGACUAAAGCAUAAUUAUUUCACCAGCGCCGGACCGAGACGGUGCUGCUGCAUGUCAUGCCAAACCUCUCA